AUUGAACGCUGGCGGCAGGCCUAACACAUGCAAGUCGAACGAGUGGCGGACGGGUGAGUAAUGUCUGGGAAACUGCCCGAUGGAGGGGGAUAACUACUGGAAACGGUAGCUAAUACCGCAUACCAUCAGAUGUACCCAGAUGGGAUUAGCUGGUCGUUGGGGUAACGGCUCACCUAGGCGACGAUCCCUAGCUGGUCUGAGAGGAUGACCAGCCACACGGGAACUGAGACACGGUCCAGACUCCUACGGGAGGCAGCAGGUGGGAAUAUUGCACAAUGGGCGAAAGCCUGAUGCAGCCAUGCCGCGUGUAUGAAGAAGGCCUUCGGGUUGUAAAGUACUUUCAGCGGGGAGGCGUUACCCGCAGAAGAAGCACCGGCUAACUCCGUGCCAGCCGCCGCGGUAAUUC
rnacentral:rRNA from 1 species